rnacentral:rRNA from 1 species
GACAGAGGUGCCAAGCGUUAGGCGGAAUCACUGGGCUUAAAGCGUGUGUAGGCGGAUUUGUAAGUACCUUGUGAAAUCCCACGGCUUAACCGUGGAACUGCUCGGUAUACUGCGAAUCUUGGGUCAUCUAGGGGCGAGCGGAACAAGUGGUGGAGCGGUGAAAUGCGUAGAUAUCACUUGGAACGCCAAUGGUGAAAACAGCUCGCUGGGGAUGCACCGACGCUGAGACACGAAAGCCAGGGGAGCAAACGGG